rnacentral:sRNA from 1 species
UGCAACAAAAAAUGGUCACUUUUAUUGC